rnacentral:rRNA from 1 species
UUUUUAUUUUUCAUAUUCCCCAAGCUGGUCGAGGCUGGAUCCCAAAGAGCGCCGCCAGGGGUGGAAUUCGGUUAUAAAAACCCUGUAGCCACGCCGAAACAAGGAUANUAGGGGGGGGGGAUGGCCCCUUCCGGCGGCAGGUAACGCAAUAAGUAUCCCCCUGGGGAGUACGAUCGCAAGGUUGAACUCAAAGGAAUUGACGGGGGCCCGCACAAGCGGUGGAGUAUGUGGUUUAAUCGAAGCAACGCGAAGAACCUUACCAGGGCUUGACAUCCUGCUAACGAACCAGAGAUGGAUUAGGUGCCCUUCGGGGAAAGCAGAGACAGGUGGUGCAUGGUUGUCGUCAGCUCGUGUCGUGAGAUGUUGGGUUAAGUCCCGCAACGAGCGCAACCCUUAUUGUUAGUUGCUACGCAAGAGCACUCUAACGAGACUGCCGUUGACAAAACGGAGGAAGGUGGGGACGACGUCAAAUCAUCAUGCCCCUUACGUCCUGGGCCACACACGUACUACAAUGGCGGCCAACAAAGAGAGGCAAGACCGCGAGGUGGAGCAAAUCUCAAAAAGCCGUCCCAGUUCGGAUCGCAGGCUGCAACCCGCCUGCGUGAAGUUGGAAUCGCUAGUAAUCGCGGAUCAGCAUGCCGCGGUGAAUACGUUCCCGGGCCUUGUACACACCGCCCGUCACACCAUGAGAGUCGGGAACACCCGAAGUCCGUAGCCUAACCGCAAGGGGGGCGCGGCCGAAGGUGGGUUCGAUAAUUGGGGUGAAGUCGUAACAAGG